rnacentral:rRNA from 1 species
CUGGCGGCGUGCUUAACACAUGCAAGUCGAACGGAAAGGCCCUGCUUUUGUGGGGUGCUCGAGUGGCGAACGGGUGAGUAACACGUGAGUAACCUGCCCUUGACUUUGGGAUAACUUCAGGAAACUGGGGCUAAUACCGGAUAGGAGCUCCUGCUGCAUGGUGGGGGUUGGAAAGUUUCGGCGGUUGGGGAUGGACUCGCGGCUUAUCAGCUUGUUGGUGGGGUAGUGGCUUACCAAGGCUUUGACGGGUAGCCGGCCUGAGAGGGUGACCGGCCACAUUGGGACUGAGAUACGGCCCAGACUCCUACGGGAGGCAGCAGUGGGGAAUAUUGCACAAUGGGCGGAAGCCUGAUGCAGCAACGCCGCGUGCGGGAUGACGGCCUUCGGGUUGUAAACCGCUUUCGCCUGUGACGAAGCGUGAGUGACGGUAAUGGGUAAAGAAGCACCGGCUAACUACGUGCCAGCAGCCGCGGUGAUACGUAGGGUGCGAGCGUUGUCCGGAUUUAUUGGGCGUAAAGGGCUCGUAGGUGGUUGAUCGCGUCGGAAGUGUAAUCUUGGGGCUUAACCCUGAGCGUGCUUUCGAUACGGGUUGACUUGAGGAAGGUAGGGGAGAAUGGAAUUCCUGGUGGAGCGGUGGAAUGCGCAGAUAUCAGGAGGAACACCAGUGGCGAAGGCGGUUCUCUGGGCCUUUCCUGACGCUGAGGAGCGAAAGCGUGGGGAGCGAACAGGCUUAGAUACCCUGGUAGUCCACGCUGUAAACGGUGGGUACUAGGUGUGGGGUCCAUUCCACGGGUUCCGUGCCGUAGCUAACGCUUUAAGUACCCCGCCUGGGGAGUACGGCCGCAAGGCUAAAACUCAAAGGAAUUGACGGGGCCCCGCACAAGCGGCGGAGCAUGCGGAUUAAUUCGAUGCAACGCGUAGAACCUUACCUGGGUUUGACAUGGAUCGGGAGUGCUCAGAGAUGGGUGUGCCUCUUUUGGGGUCGGUUCACAGGUGGUGCAUGCCUGUCGUCAGCUCGUGUCGCGAGAUGUUGGGUUAAGUCCCGCAACGAGCGCAACCCUUGUUCACUGUUGCCAGCACGUUAUGGUGGGGACUCAGUGGAGACCGCCGGGGUCAACUCGGAGGAAGGUGGGGAUGACGUCAAGUCCUCAUGCCCCUUAUGUCCAGGGCUUCACGCAUGCUACAAUGGCUGGUACAGAGAGUGGCGAGCCUGUGAGGGUGAGCGAAUCUCGGAAAGCCGGUCUCAGUUCGGAUUGGGGUCUGCAACUCGACCUCAUGAAGUCGGAGUCGCUAGUAAUCGCAGAUCAGCAACGCUGCGGUGAAUACGUUCCCGGGGCUUGUACACACCGCCCGUCAAGUCAUGAAAGUUGGUAACACCCGAAGCCGGUGGCCUAACCGUUGUGGGGGAGCCGUCGAAGGUGGGACUGGUGAUUAGGA